rnacentral:misc_RNA from 1 species
UCCGGUUUGUCACCGGCAGUCUCGUCUGAAAAGUUCAGCAGACAACAAGGGUUGCGCUCGUUGCGGGACUUAACCCAACAUCUCACGACACGAGCUGACGACGGCCAUGCAACACCUGUCACCGAGCUCCCUUCCGGGCACCCCUCCAUCUCUGGAGGGUUCUCGGGAUGUCAAGAGUGGGUAAGGUUCUUCGCGUACCGUCGAAUUAAACCACAUCCUCCGCUGCUUGUGCGGUCCCCCGUCAAUUCCUUUGAGUUUUAAGCUUGCGCUCGUACUCCCCAGGCGGCUGACUUAACGCGUUAGCUUCGAUUCCGAGGGGGUCGAUACCCUCAAAACCUAGUCAGCAUCGUUUACGGCGUGGACUA